UUAUGUUGUCAAGAUAAGCCAUGCAUGUCUAAGUAUAAGCAACUAUACGGUGAAACUGCGAAUGGCUCAUUAAAUCAGUUAUCGUUUAUUUGAUAGUACCUUACUACAUGGAUAACCGUGGUAAUUCUAGAGCUAAUACAUGCUAAAAACCUCGACUUCGGAAGGGGUGUAUUUAUUAGAUAAAAAACCAAUGCCCUUCGGGGCUCCUUGGUGAAUCAUAAUAACUUAACGAAUCGCAUGGCCUUGCGCCGGCGAUGGUUCAUUCAAAUUUCUGCCCUAUCAACUUUCGAUGGUAGGAUAGUGGCCUACCAUGGUAUCAACGGGUAACGGGGAAUUAGGGUUCGACUCCGGAGAGGGAGCCUGAGAAACGGCUACCACAUCCAAGGAAGGCAGCAGGCGCGCAAAUUACCCAAUCCCGACACGGGGAGGUAGUGACAAUAAAUACUGAUACAGGGCUCUUUUGGGUCUUGUAAUUGGAAUGAGUACAAUUUAAAUCCCUUAACGAGGAACAAUUGGAGGGCAAGUCUGGUGCCAGCAGCCGCGGUAAUUCCAGCUCCAAUAGCGUAUAUUAAAGUUGUUGCAGUUAAAAAGCUCGUAGUUGAACCUUGGGCCUGGCUGGCCGGUCCGCCUCACCGCGUGUACUGGUCCGGCCGGGCCUUUCCUUCUGGGGAACCUCAUGCCCUUCACUGGGCGUGUUGGGGAACCAGGACUUUUACUUUGAAAAAAUUAGAGUGUUCAAAGCAGGCCUUUGCUCGAAUACAUUAGCAUGGAAUAAUAGAAUAGGACGUGUG
rnacentral:rRNA from 1 species